CUGACACAGGGAGGUAGUGACAAUAAAUAACUAGACCGGGCUUUAUAGUCUAGUCAUAGGAAUGAGAGUAAUUUAAAUCCCUUAUCGAGGAUCAAUUGGAGGGCAAGUCUGGUGCCAGCAGCCGCGGUAAUUCCAGCUCCAAUAGCGUAUACUAAAGUUGUUGCAGUUAAAAAGCUCGUAGUUGGAUUUCUGGUCGAAGCAGCCGCUCAGCUUCUAGUAAGUUUGUAGCAGGCGCUUCGUCCAUUUUUGUAAAGACUAUAUCUGUCAUUAAGUUGGUGGGUAUAGGACUUGCAUCAUUUACUGUGAGCAAAAUAGAGUGUUCAAAGCAGGCUUAGGCCAUGAAUAUCUUAGCAUGGAAUAAUAAGAUAAGACCUUGGUCUAUUUUGUUGGUUAGCAUUCCGAGGUAAUGAUUAAUAGGGAUAGUUGGGGGUAUUCGUAUUCAAUUGUCAGAGGUGAAAUUCUUGGAUUUAUUGAAGACGAACUACUG
rnacentral:rRNA from 1 species